AUGAAAUCGGAGAAGGAAGUAGCGGAAUCGGAGAGAAGUCCAUUGGGAUUGCGACAAAGGGAGGCUUCACCGACCGACGAUAUAUCGAUAAGGCAGAAGGAGCUAGCUGGCCGCAAGAUUGCAAGCUGGCGCGACAUUGUUAGCAACUUACACAAUGUUAGAAAAGGGCCAAGGUCUGUAGUAGCUCAAAGUGCACCUCAGCGGCAAAGGGGUAAGAGAGACAUAAUAGCUGAAGGUGAGAAGGGUGAGCUAGCAGCUAAUGAGACAGAUUAG